rnacentral:rRNA from 1 species
AUUGAACGCUGGCGGCAGGCCUAACACAUGCAAGUCGAACGGUAACAGGAAGAAGCUUGCUUCUUUGCUGACGAGUGGCGGACGGGUGAGUAAUGUCUGGGAAACUGCCUGAUGGCGGGGGAUAACUACUGGAAACGGUAGCUAUUCCCGCAUAACGUCGCAAGACCAAAGAGGGGGACCUUCGGGCCUUUUGCCAUCGGCUGUGACCAGAUGGGAUUAGCUAGUAGGUGGGGUAACGGCUCACCUAGGCGACGAUCCCUAGCUGGUCUGAGAGGAUGACCAGCCACACUGGAACUGAGACACGGUCCAGACUCCUACGGGAGGCAGCAGUGGGGAAUAUUGCACAAUGGGCGCAAGCCUGAUGCAGCCAUGCCGCGUGUAUGAAGAAGGCCUUCGGGUUGUAAAGUACUUUCAGCGGGGAGGAAGGGAGUAAAGUUAAUACCUUUGCUCAUUGACGUUACCCGCAGAAGAAGCACCGGCUAACUCCGUG